UGGCCCCAUCGUCUAGAGGCCUAGGACACGGCCCUCUCAAGGCCGAGACGGGGGUUCGAAUCCCCCUGGGGUCACC
rnacentral:tRNA from 2 species